rnacentral:rRNA from 1 species
UCGAACGGGUGCAAGCUUCAGCUUGCUGGGUGGAUCAGAUGGCGAACGGGUGAGUAACACGCUGAGCAAUCUGCCCCUGACUCUGGGAUAAGCGCUGGAAACGGCGUCUAAUACUGGAUACGAACCGUGGAGNNAUCUUCAACGGUUGGAAAGAUUUUUUGGUCAGGGAUGAGCUCGCGGCCUAUCAGCUUGUUGGUGAGGUAAUGGCUCACCAAGGCGUCGACGGGUAGCCGGCCUGAGAGGGUGACCGGCCACACUGGGACUGAGACACGNNCNAAAUAUAUACGGGAGG